rnacentral:rRNA from 1 species
UGCAAGUCGAGCGAACAGAUAAGGAGCUUGCUCCUUUGACGUUAGCGGCGGACGGGUGAGUAACACGUGGAUAACCUACCUAUAAGACUGGGAUAACUUCGGGAAACCGGAGCUAAUACCGGAUAACAUAUUGAACCGCAUGGUUCAAUAGUGAAAGGCGGCUUUGCUGUCACUUAUAGAUGGAUCCGCGCCGUAUUAGCUAGUUGGUAAGGUAACGGCUUACCAAGGCAACGAUACGUAGCCGACCUGAGAGGGUGAUCGGCCACACUGGAACUGAGACACGGUCCAGACUCCUACGGGAGGCAGCAGUAGGGAAUCUUCCGCAAUGGGCGAAAGCCUGACGGAGCAACGCCGCGUGAGUGAUGAAGGUCUUCGGAUCGUAAAACUCUGUUAUCAGGGAAGAACAAAUGUGUAAGUAACUGUGCACAUCUUGACGGUACCUGAUCAGAAAGCCACGGCUAACUACGUGCCAGCAGCCGCGGUAAUACGUAGGUGGCAAGCGUUAUCCGGAAUUAUUGGGCGUAAAGCGCACGUAGGCGGUUUUUUAGGUCUGAUGUGAAAGCCCACGGCUCAACCGUGGAGGGUCAUUGGAAACUGGAAAACUUGAGUGCAAAAAGAGGAAAGUGGAAUUCCAUGUGUAGCGGUGAAAUGCG